rnacentral:tRNA from 1 species
UGGAAGGUAGUUCAAUGGCAGAAUGCAAGCAUUAAGCCUCGCCAAUCAUUUGCCUGUAAGGGCCGACGUGUGAGGGUUAUCGGGCUUGUGAUGCAGGUUCGACUCCUGUCCUUCCAC